rnacentral:tRNA from 1 species
GGGGCGGUAGCUCAGUUGGUAGAGCGCAUCGUUCGCAAUGAUGAGGUCAGGGGUUCGACUCCCCUUCGCUCCA